rnacentral:rRNA from 10 species
CAGCAGCCGCGGUAAUUCCAGCUCCAAUAGCGUAUUGUAAAGUUGUUGCAGUUAAAAAGCUCGUAGUUGGAUUUCGGGCUCGACGGCGACGGUCAGCCGCAAGGUAUGUCACUGUCGGCGUUGGCCUUCUUCGCGCAGACUUCGCGUGCUCUUAACUGAGUGUGCGUUGGAUACGCGACGUUUACUUUGAAAAAAUUAGAGUGUUCAAAGCAGGCUUGCGCUUGAAUACAUAAGCAUGGAAUAAUGGAAUAGGACUUUGGUUCUAUUUUCCGUUGGUUUCUGGAACCGAAGUAAUGAUUAAUAGGGACAGUUGGGGGCAUUCGUAUUUCGUUGUCAGAGGUGAAAUUCUUGGAUUUACGAAAGACGAACUAAUGCGAAAGCAUUUGCCAAGAAUGUUUUCAUUAAUCAAGAACGAAAGUUAGAGGAUCGAAGACGAUCAGAUACCGUCCUAGUUCUAACCAUAAACGAUGCCGACUAGGGAUCAGCGAGUGUUAUUUGAUGACCUCGUUGGCACCUUAUGGGAAACCAAAGUUUUUGGGUUCCGGGGGAAGUAUGGUUGCAAAGCUGAAACUUAAAGGAAUUGACGGAAGGGCACCACCAGGAGUGGAGCCUGCGGCUUAAUUUGACUCAACACGGG